rnacentral:rRNA from 1 species
GACGAACCGUGCGAACGUUAUUCGGAAUCACUGGGCUUAAAGCGCGUGUAGGCGGGACGGCACGUCUGUCGCUGAAAUCCCCCGGCUUAACCGGGGAACUGGCGGAGAUACGACCGUACCUGGAGGGGCGUAGGGGGACCUGGAACUUCCGGUGGAGCGGUGAAAUGCGUUGAGAUCGGAAGGAACGCCCGUGGCGAAAGCGAGGUCCUGGACGCCUACGUGACGCUGAGGCGCGAAAGCCAGGGGAGCGGAACGGG